UAAUACGGAGGGGGCGAGCGUUAUUCGGAAUUAUUGGGCGUAAAGGGCGCGUAGGCGGCUUGACAAGUCAAAGGUGAAAUCCCUCGGCUCAACUGAGGAACUGCCUUUGAAACUGUCUGGCUUGAGGCCGGGAGAGGGUAGCGGAAUUCCCAGUGUAGCGGUGAAAUGCGUAGAUACUGGGAGGAACACCGGUGGCGAAGGCGGCUACCUGGACCGGUUCUGACGCUGAGGCGCGAAAGCGUGGGUAGCAAACAGGAUUAGAUACCCUGGUAGUCCACGCUGUAAACGAUGGGUGCUCGGUGUCGCGGGUAUCGACCCCUGCGGUGCCUUAGCUAACGCGUUAAGCACCCCGCCUGGGGAGUACGGUCGCAAGGCUG
rnacentral:rRNA from 1 species